GGAACCUGUCCUGUAAUUGAUGAUCCACGAUUUAAAUUACUUAUUUUAAUAGUUUGCAUAUCGUCGUGGUUGAAUAUUUUUAAAAAAUAAUAAUAUUCAAGAUUUUUUAUUAAAAAAAAAUUCAGAUCAAGAUGUAGCUUAUAUAUAAGAAGAGAUGGGUUACAAUAAAUUUAUUUAAAUGGAUUGUAGUUUGAAAUUUUACAUGAAAGUGGAUUUGAUAGUAAUUUUAAUUAAAUAAUUAAAAUGAUUUUAGCUCUAAAAUAUGUACAUAUCGCCCGUCAUUUUCACUCUAAAGUGAAACAAGUCGUAACAUAGUAGGUGUACUGGAAAGUGUACCUAGAAUGGCAAAUUAGAGCUUGUUAAAAAGCAUUUUAUUUACAUUAAAAAGUUUAUUGUGAAAAUCAAUAUGAUUUGAAUUUAAAAAAUUAUUAUAAUAAUAAAUUUUUAGUUAUUUUAAUAAAUUAAUUUUUAGUUGAAUUAUAGAAAUGAAAUAAUUUAUUUAAUUAUAGUUAAUUUGUAUUGUAAAAGAAUUUUAAAUAAAUUUAUUUAAGAAUAAUUAAAUUUUAGUACCUUGUGCAAAAAACAUGGCCUUUUGAUAAUAAUAUAAGGUUUAACCUGCCCAAUGAGGUUUUAAAUGGCCGCAGUAUUUUGACUGUGCAAAGGUAGCAUAAUCAUUUGUUUUUUAAUUGAAAGCUGGAAUGAAAGGUUGAAUGAGAAAAUAACUGUCUCUAUUUAAUUUUAUUAUAAUUUUAUUUUUAAGUUAAAAAGCUUAAAUGUUUUUUGAAGACGAGAAGACCCUAUAGAGUUUUAUAAUUAAUAAAUUUAAAAAAUUUAGAAUUAAUUUUUUUUAAAUACAAAAAUUAUUUAGUUGGGGUGAUUAAAAAAUUUAAUAAACUUUUUUUUUAUUAUUACAUUAAUUUAUGAAUAUUUGAUCCUUUUUAAGAUUAUAAGAGUAAAUUACCUUAGGGAUAACAGCGUAAUUUUUUUUUAGAGUUCAAAUUAAAAGAAAAGAUUGCGACCUCGAUGUUGGAUUAAAAUUUAUAUUUGGUGUAGCAGCUAAAAUAUUGGGUCUGUUCGACCUUUAAAAUUUUACUUGAUCUGAG
rnacentral:rRNA from 1 species